CGCUAAAAAUCAAAGCUCGGGAUCGAUCUCUCGAGGCUAAAACUCGGUCUCUAUACGAGGACCAAAGUGGGGAGAUAAGAUGGUUCCUCUACGUGCCAUCGCCUACCAACUUCAAUGGUGGAAUGAGGAUGGUCGGUUAGCAGAACGAAGAAGAGGGGGGGCACUUAGGUUUUUCCUCCCCUUUCCCAUCAUUUGUCUGCUGCGGCGCUUAGGAGUGUCUUAGGUUUUUCUUUUUCUUUUUAACUUACAGAGGGAAACGACGUCGUCUAAGGCAUGGUCUGAUAGCCCUAAAAACGACACCGUACAAGCCAUGUCCAAUUGGACCCGAUCCGAAUGCCCCUGAGAUUCGAGCAUUUUCGUGGUGAGGGGUUAUUUUCCAUAUCGGUCCCUUUCCUUUCGCGCUUCAGUUCAAUCAGCCCACGCUUAUGUUUCAUUUUCUUAAAAUUGCUCUUGUGAUUUGCAUACGUUCGCGCUUUAGUCCGUAUUUGCACAUAGUGUUUUGGAGUCCGGAAUAAUUCCAGUUUUGGUCCUCAUAUAUUUGUAUACAUCACACGCUGGUCCCUUUUGUUAUUUUGGCAGUUGUUUUCAUUUAUAAUUUGUCUCUCUUAUUUUAAUUCAAUUUCAAUUGAGUCUCCUUUUUUUAUUUAUUCAUUUUAUGGUUUAUUAUCGUUUUUAAGACAC
rnacentral:lncRNA from 1 species